GCCGAGAGGUUUGUUUGUUCCUGGCGAGGGAGCUCUUUCUAACCUAGGCAGAAGCAGCCAGCCUUCUGAAAUACCCCGGGGCAGGAAUCCCAGGGCUGCUUCCCACCUCCGGACUUCUCAGUAGAACAAGCAAACUCAGUUUAAAUGCCAGAGAUUUUCAAGGAAUGGAACAAAGAAAGCAGAGUGACAGGAAUGAAAGACACUGAAAAAGUCCUCACUGGCAGGAAUUUAUUCUUGUUACUUCUGCAUACCAUCAACGAUGUUUGCAUCUUCAUCAAGGCUAGACAUCUCUUCCUGUGAACUUGGGAUGGAUGGAAGAUGUCUGUGGAAGGAUGCAGAUGAUGAGGCCAUUAAGAACUCAACUGUGAUGGACAGUCUUUUUCAAAUUAUUGUUAUUAUUAUUAUUAUGUGUAUUUUAUUUUUCCAUAGUAUCUGACCACCCUCUCUAUUACAAAUCAUACUUAAUGUUGUCACUUAUGGUACAGUAUACACAUAGCACCAUAAAAACAAGCCAUGGAGUUAGCCCUCACUACUGCAUGAAUGUCUGAAGGACAGGUACCAUCGGCUAUCUUUCUAGCCUGCAUCAAUUAUCCUGUCUACUGCUGCAUGUCCAUUUUUACCUAUCAUUAAGAUUCACAAAAACUUAAGUUACUUAAAAAUUAAACAUUUAAAUGUUUGUUGACAAAACAAUAAACAUGAAAAAUUUUUCCUAUUACCUUGGCCAAUAAAAAAUUUAGAAUUUCUAGUUACUAGGCACACAGGACUCUAAAGUAUGCUAUACCUUGCCUGCUUUGAGCUACAAAUAUAUUCUAUUUUCUUGUGACACCACCUUUACAGGAAGACUUCUCGCUGACCCCAUAUGCUUGAUGGCUUUGGGGUCUUCUUUCCAGGGCUUCACAUAGCUGCUGUCUUCCUAAGGCUAAAUUGCCUAUUUGACAGUAGAAUAAUGAAAGUCAUUUCAAGGUUGCUUCUGUCAAAGCCACUAGGGCCAGCAUUCUGGGGACUGCUCUGGAUAUAAAGUGCUUAAUUGAAAGUAAUCAAUGCCACAAAUCAAUUCAGGAUUUAGCAUCAAACACUGUUUGCUGAACAGGACCAGGAAGGAAAUCCCUGGUCUCAUAAAACACAGGAAAACCACAAAGUGGAAGCUUCAUUCUAGCUUAUUCUGCCUUCCUUAAAAGGUGGUGGCAUGAGCCAAUUAUACAGAAGCUAGAAUGCAAGGAUAAAAUAGAAAAUUGAUUUAACUUUUUUAUUU
ensembl:lincRNA B230110C06Rik RIKEN cDNA B230110C06 gene